rnacentral:rRNA from 1 species
CCUACGGGUGGCAGCAGUGGGGAAUAUUGGACAAUGGGGGGAACCCUGAUCCAGCCAUACCGCGUGUGUGAAGAAGGCCCUCGGGUUGUAAAGCACUUUCAGUGAGGAAGAACGCCUGGUGGUUUAUACCCAUCAGGAAAGACAUCACUCACAGAAGAAGCACCGGCUAACUCCGUGCCAGCAGCCGCGGUAAUACGGAGGGUGCGAGCGUUAAUCGGAAUUACUGGGCGUAAAGCGCGCGUAGGUGGCUUGAUAAGCCGGUUGUGAAAGCCCCGGGCUCAACCUGGGAACGGCAUCCGGAACUGUCAAGCUAGAGUGCAGGAGAGGAAGGUAGAAUUCCCGGUGUAGCGGUGAAAUGCGUAGAGAUCGGGAGGAAUACCAGUGGCGAAGGCGGCCUUCUGGACUGACACUGACACUGAGGUGCGAAAGCGUGGGUAGCAAACAGGAUUAGAUACCCGAGUAGUC